GUGAAUUGCAGGGGCAGGCCUCAGCCCGCUGGCCCAGUGGUUAAGUUCAAGCGCUCCACUUGGGUUGCCCAGGGGUUCACCACUUUGGAUCCUGGGUGGGGACAUGACACCUCUCAUCAGGCCACGUUGAGGCGGCAUCCCACAUGCCACAACUAGAAGGACCCACAACUAAAAUAUACAACUAUGUACUGGGGGGAUUUGGGGAGAAAAAGGGGGGGAAAAAAAAGAUUGGCAAGAGUUGUUAGCUCAGGUGCCAAUCUUUAAAAAAAAAAGAAAAAAAGAGUAGGCCGCAGACACGAUGCUCUGUUACCCUUGACUACUUCGUGUAUUAACCCAAUACGAGAAUCCCAUGCAUAACUACAGAGUAAUUAUUUAAAAUCAGGAAGUUAACACUACUACUUCAUCUAUAGACCUUAUUGAGAUUUCGUCACUUGUCCCAAUAACAUCCUGCAUAGCAAAAUAAAACCCACGAUCAGCAGUAGUUAUUUUUUAACAGCUUCCGGGUGAUGCCACUGCGCAGCCGAGCGUUGGAAAACAAGAGUGCGUUCAGCUGAAGCUGGGGGCGGUCAGAAAAGGGCCGAGGGUUACAGACUCCCGGCGCCGCGGGAGCAGGUAUUUGCAGGGCCGCGCGAGGCUGGGAGCCAAGACAGGGUUUGGCAGGCGCUGCGCAGAUUGCUCAACUACCACCAGCGCGCGAGCCUGGGGACUCCACCAGCCGCAUCGGCUGACCCUGAACUUCACCAUCGCCCCUGGCCCCACCUCCCGCCCCGAAGGCGUGGAAGAGGGGUCAUGAAAGGGUUGGGAUGGCAGGUUUUUCUCUACAGUCCCCUAUAGGCCCCAGGGUGGCAGCAGAGCCUCAGGGGAGAAAUGAACAGGAAUGCACGUGAUACUGGUAUGCUCUAGUAGCAUUCGGUAGGAAACAGAAUACCAGAGAGCGUGGAAGUGCAUGAGGAAUGGAUAAGAGCAGUAUUUGUUAGCCAACAUCACUUUAGAACAUUUGUUUUCAACUUGGGGCAAUUUCGCCUCUACCACAGGGGGCAUUUGGCAAUAUGUGUAGACAUUUUUGACUGUCACAACUCGGGGGAAGUGCUACCAGCCUUUAGUGCGCAGAAGCCAGGAAUACUGCUGAACAUCCUACAACGCACAAGGCGGUUCGCCGCAAGAAAGAGUUAUCCGCCCCUACAGAUCGGUUGUGCUGAGGCUGAAAAACCUGCCUUGCAGAAUUCUAUAAGGUUUGAAAUGUAACAUUUUGUUGUAACUCAGUUAAAAAUACAUUCUAAUUUCCAUUUUGAUUACUUCUUUAACCAUGUGUGAUUUAUAAACUUUAAGCUUUAAUUUAGAACCAUAUGGGGAUUUUUUCCUUCUCUUUUUUAACUGACUGAAGCUUUUAAUUUUCUGCUUAAAUGAAUUGUGAUCAGAAAGCAUUCUCUGUAUGUUUUCAGCCCUUUGAAAUUUCUUGAGACACGCUUUGUGGCCCAGUAAAUGAUUAAUUGUGUAAAUGUUCAGCGUGUCGUUGAAAAGAAAAUGUUUCUGCAGUUGUUGGGUGAAAUACUCUGUACAUAUUAGGUUGAUUUGAUUUCAUGACUACAUUAUUCGUGUUUUUGGUGCAUGUUUGAAAAAUUAUCAGAAAACUGUUUUAAAAUCUUCCACUAUGAUUGUGGAGUUAUUUACCUUCUUCUUGUAUUCCUCUCAGAUUUCACUUUACAUAUUUUGAAAUUGAAUUUAGGUAUAUAAAAAUAUAAAAUUGUUAUCCCUUCCUGGUGAAUAAUCAUUAGGAAGAAACCACAGUGAUCCGUUGAUCCUGAAUAAUGUUCUUUUUUGCUUUAAAGUUUACUUUGAUAUUAAGAAAACUAUACAAUCUUUCUUUUGUUAAGUGUUUAUAUGAUAUAUCUUUUGCCAUUGUUUUACUUUUAACCAUUGUGAAUCCUUACAUUUUAGGUGUUUCUUGUAAAUAAUGUCUAUGUAUAUGUGUACAAAUAAAUCCAGUGUGACAAGCUUUGUCUGUAUUCCA
rnacentral:lncRNA from 1 species